rnacentral:rRNA from 1 species
UGGGGAAUUUGGAUCAAUGGGGGAAACCCUGAUCCAGCCAUCCCGCGUGUGCGAUGAAGGCCUUCGGGUUGUAAAGCACUUUUGGCAGGAAAGAAACGUCGCGGGUUAAUACCCCGCGGAACUGACGGUACCUGCAGAAUAAGCACCGGCUAACUACGUGCCAGCAGCCGCGGUAAUACGUAGGGUGCAAGCGUUAAUCGGAAUUACUGGGCGUAAAGCGUGCGCAGGCGGUUCGGAAAGAAAGAUGUGAAAUCCCAGAGCUUAACUUUGGAACUGCAUUUUUUAACUACCGGGCUAGAGUGUGUCAGAGGGAGGUGGAAUUCCGCGUGUAGCAGUGAAAUGCGUAGAUAUGCGGAGGAACACCGAUGGCGAAGGCAGCCUCCUGGGAUAACACUGACGCUCAUGCACGAAAGCGUGGGGAGCAAACAGGAUUAGGUACCCUGGUAGUCCACGCCCUAAACGAUGUCAACUAGCUGUUGGGGUCUUCGGACCUUGGUAGCGCAGCUAACGCGU